UACGCCGUGGAUGGCCCAAUGGAGGGAUUCUCCCCUGUAGACCUAAUUUUUGUCUUCUUCUUUCAUCUCGCGGCGGUGUAGAGAUGUCGUCUGAGCUUCUCCGAAACGGUCUCAUAGAUGCUUCAUGAUCGAUCGUUAAUGGUUCUCAUCCCCACUACGUCGUCUUCAAUGCCUCUAGAUCUGAAAGGUGGUGAUUUUUUUGUUAUAAAUAUGUGUGCUCAUCCGCCGUCGAAACUAGGCUUUUGAGGUUCUGGGAGGCUAGAAACGUGAAGCUUGGCGAUGAGUUCAUGUUGGUCGACAUACUGAUGGUUGACGUCAACGUUCGAUAUCAAGUAUUAUUUUACAGGAUUUGAAGAUAUUGGACCUGCCGUGGUAGCAGCAUAUAUAGGAACUGGAUUUGAUUUUGAGUAUUCUUUGAGAUUAACAAGAGACAAAACUCGGCCUCAGCCUCCGCAGCUGCAUCAGAAAAUGGGACCGGAAGAGGCUGGAGAAGAGCAAGGACCCAGAUUUCCCACGGUGAAGCUGAGAAAACGGUGCGAGGGGGGAAGAGGUGGUGAAAGGGUUGAGAGAUGAAAAACGGAAUGUGAAGCUGAACAAGAGGAUUUGAGUAUAUUCUUUGGAGAUUCAGCAGUUGGAGAAAAAUUUGCAAAGAAAAUGGGACUCAAGAUUUUAAAUGAGUUAGCAGAAGGUUAUGAGAGUAUCUACGAAAGGCUUUCAGCUUUGCCUUCUACUGCUCAUGGUGCUUUGGUACUAAUCUCACUGUAAAGUUUAUGUCUUUUAGUUCUCUGAUGAUUGUCUUAUAGACUUGAAAUGUAUGCCAGCAUGUUUUUCAGAUUUAUAGCAACCUCUGAGGUUUUCGGUCUUUCAUUUAUAACUUAGUCUUUUAGAAAAA